CAUACGGGAGGCAGCAGUCGAGAAUCAUUCACAAUGGGGGAAACCCUGAUGCAGCGACGCCGCGUGUGGGAAGACGGUCCUCUGGAUUGUAAACCACUGUCCCCAGGGACGAAGAUGACGGUACCUGGGGAGGAAGCUCCGGCUAACUACGUGCCAGCAGCCGCGGUCAUACGUAGGGAGCGAGCGUUGUCCGGAAUUACUGGGUGUAAAGGGAGCGUAGGCGGGACUGCAAGUUGGGUGUCAAAUCUACCGGCUCAACCGGUAGCCGCACUCAAAACUGCAGUUCUUGAGUGAAGUAGAGGCAGGCGGAAUUCCUAGUGUAGCGGUGAAAUGCGUAGAUAUUAGGAGGAACACCAGUGGCGAAGGCGGCCUGCUGGGCUUUUACUGACGCUGAGGCUCGAAAGUGUGGGGAGCAAACAGGAUUAGAUACCCCAGUAGUC
rnacentral:rRNA from 1 species